CUCGUCUUUGCUCCCACGAAAUCGACCGGCGAACGAAAUCCAAAUAAUUUUCCUGGAUCCCUUCCUCUCGGAACCCUAAUCUUCGCUAGGACGAUCGAUCGAUGGGAGGGCACGGAGGUCUCAACAUAUUGCCGCAGAAGCGGUGGAACGUGUACAACUACGAGAACCGCGAGAAGGUCCGCCGGGACGAGGAGGCCGCUGCCCGCGAGGAGCAGCUCCAGCGCGAGGAGUCCCGCCGCCGAGUUCCGCCUCGAGCGCCUCCGCCGUGCCCGCGGUCUUCACUACCAGCAACCCCCCCGCCUUCGAUGACGACUCUCGCCACUUUAACCUCUUCGACGGACUCUCCGAUUUCUCCUCCCUUGGCGGCACCCAGGACGAAGGGAUCCCCCGUGAUGGCAAGAUAUUUAGGAAGGAGGAGGCUGAAGACGGUGGAUCCAAGAGCUCUAAGAAGCCGCGGAGAGAGGACAAUCCGGCGUCGGUGGCGCCCGAGGACGAGAAGUAUAAGCUGGGAUAUGGACUGGUAGGGAAGGGGGUGAAGGCGCCGUGGUACCUCUCACGACCGUCGGCCAUGUCAGAGGCUGUUGACGAGGAAGUUGGAAGAUUCAUGGUUGCAAGUGGAUCGGGGAAGAAGAAUGCGGGGAAAAAGACAAUAGAGGAACUGAGGGAGGAGAGGAUGAGGCGGGAGAAGAAAGAAAAGGAGAGGGAGCGUGCACUUCUUGAGGAAGAAUGGUGCUGAUCGAUGGUUUUCAAGGAAGAGUUCUAAGUACGAAGGCUGUCCAUGUUAGUGACUUCUAUGAUUUUAUGGUUCUGCUACCGUUCCAGAGAUAUCAUAAGCCUGAUAUCUCUUUUGACGUUGAGAAGAGAAAACACUUCAUGAAGUUGCACAUCCAUUUAGCCAUGUUUCUGCUGCUAAAGUACAGCAGUAGAUCAUUCGAAGCAAACAAUUUGAAGUCGGAGUUGGUUGUCUUGCAGUUGAUGGUGGGCUGUUUUUCAGGUACAGUUCUGUAACGAAGAAAAAAGAAGGAUAUAUGAUCAAUGUUUGAUUUUUUUUUCUUUUAUUUUAUCAUCCAAAAUAUGUUUUCCCCUCAGAUUAUUUGAACAAAGUUCCGACAACAUUUAAUCAUUAUUCUUUUCCCAAAUGCCCUGAUGGAUUUUGGAUGA